AUUGAACGCUAGCGGGAUGCCUUACACAUGCAAGUCGAACGGCAGCACGGACUUCGGUCUGGUGGCGAGUGGCGAACGGGUGAGUAAUGUAUCGGAACGUGCCCAGUAGCGGGGGAUAACUACUCGAAAGAGUAGCUAAUACCGCAUACGCCCUACGGGGGAAAGGGGGGGAUCGCAAGACCUCUCACUAUUGGAGCGGCCGAUAUCGGAUUAGCUAGUUGGUGGGGUAAAGGCCCACCAAGGCGACGAUCCGUAGCUGGUUUGAGAGGACGACAAGCCACACUGGGGCUGAGACACGGCCCAGACUCCUACGGGAGGCAGCAGUGGGGAAUGUUGGACAAUGGGGGCAACCCUGGUCCAGCCAUCCCGCGUGUGCGAUGAAGGCCUUCGGGUUGUAAAGCACUUGUGGCAGGAAAGAAAUCGCAUGGGUUAAUACCCUGUGUGGAUGACGGUACCUGCAGAAUAAGCACCGGCUAACUACGUGCCAGCCGCCGCAGUAA
rnacentral:rRNA from 1 species